GUGUGUGUGUGUGUGUGUGUGUGUGUAUGUGUGUGUGUCAGCUCCGCCUGAACACACGGAGCAGCAGCCCAUUAAUCUGAGCAAAACAACCGUCAAACACCUAAACGCGUUUAUCUCCUAAUUCUGGUCAUUUUUGUUUAUUGUUAAUUUACCGGUAAGCUAGUAGUUAACGUGUUGCGUGUUAGCUUGUGUAUGUGUACGGCGUUGCCAUGGUGACUCUUCGCACUCGAGGCACAGGGGACGCGUAUCCGAGCACCGGGCCGCUGCAGCAGCAGAUGCCGUCCAAUUCCCCGCUGCAGGCUGCACCAGGGAUCCAGAGCAGCAGCAGCAGCACGGUCCCCAGGCCGGAAGAAUCCGCACUGUGCGAUAGAAUUAAUGAUGAUGAUCAGAAUUACGUUGAUUCAGAAACACACGAGGAUGAAGAUGAGAAACCACAGAGAGCCAUCAUCAGGAAAUCUCCAAGGCUUCAAAACACUGCAGAUGGUGGAAAGAGGAGUGGGCUGAGGAGAAGCACCAGGUCGACCAAACCGACCUGCAGAUAUCAGGACUCCAACAUGUUCGACGGCAUCGGCACCAACACGGCCAGGUUGGUUCUGAAUAAGAUGGACAACAUGAAGAAGAAAAGGCAUCUUAGUAACAACAAAAAAGGAAAGACAAGAACUCCUGUGCCUCCACAGACAGAGCCCAGUGACAACGAGGAUGACAACGGUUUGUCCCAACAUUCAGGAAAAUGUGGAGUUGUUGAUGAAGAAAGCAGACAGGAAGUGGCUGCAGACGAAGACAGCAACUGCAGCACUAACCAGAACUUUGACGCCAAAAUGAGCCGAGCCUCGUCGCUCUACGAGGGACCCAGCAGCGAGUUCCAGAGAGGAACGUUCAGGAUUAGCGCCUCCGGAUCGAACACGACCCGCAGAGCAGCAUUCAGACCCACUAAGAGUGCUCUGUCCAAUCAGUCUGAUGAAGACAACGACUCUGAUGAUGAAGUGCAAAAUGUUGAAAAGGUCCUUGGAAGCUGUCGGCCGCUCGGCCUGCGUACGGAGGAUCUUCUGGGGACUUGCAGAGACCAGAUGAACGCAGGAGCAGGUCUGGCAGAUAUUGAUCCCAUGGCUAUCGACCAAUCAGUUGGGUUUGACAGCAUCGGAGGUCUGUCUGGUCACAUCUCAGCUCUGAAGGAGAUGAUUGUGUUCCCACUUCUGUACCCCGAAGUCUUUGACAACUUCAAGAUUCAGCCUCCCAGAGGUUGUCUGUUUUAUGGACCUCCUGGGACGGGAAAAACGCUGGUUGCCCGGGCACUGGCCAAUGAGUGUAGCCAUGGCAACAGGAAGGUGGCCUUCUUCAUGAGGAAGGGAGCCGACUGCCUCAGCAAGUGGGUGGGCGAGUCAGAGCGGCAGCUGCGGCUGCUGUUUGAGCAGGCAUAUCAGAUGCGUCCGGCCAUUGUCUUCUUUGACGAGAUCGACGGCCUGGCUCCGGUCCGAUCCAGCAGACAGGACCAGAUACACAGCUCCAUUGUGUCGACACUCCUGGCUCUGAUGGACGGGUUGGACAGUCGAGGUGAAGUCGUUGUUAUCGGAGCGACUAACCGCCUGGACUCCAUCGACCCGGGGCUGAGACGGCCCGGACGCUUCGACAGGGAGUUCCUCUUCGGGCUGCCUGACAGAGAGUCUCGGAAAGAGAUUCUGAAAAUCCACACCAGGCAGUGGAAACCUCGCCCGUCUGAAGACUUCCUGGAUGAACUGGCCGAGAAAUGUGUCGGUUACUGCGGUGCUGACAUCAGGGCGGUGUGCACCGAGGCGGCGCUGUGCGCUCUGCGGCGCCGCUACCCGCAGAUCUACGGCACCUCCCAGAAGCUCCUGCUGGACGUCUCCUCCAUUGUCGUCAGCAGCUGUGACUUUAUGGCGGCCAUGAGGAAGAUGUCGCCGGCCUCCCAACGCUCUGCGGCUUCGCCCGCCAAACCCCUCUCACCUGUGGUUCAGCCUCUGCUGGGCGCCACCCUGCGGAACAUCCAGGAGGCUCUGCAGAGGCUGUACCCUCACGCCGAGCAGGGGAUGAAGAGGAAGAGGGAGCCAGAUCUGACCUCUGGGAUCCUUGAUGACGACCUGAUGUAUGGAGGAGAUGAGGCCUCCAGCAUCUUCACACCCUCCACCUCCAAGAGCAGAAACUUCCUGCACUUUGCCAGGAGUGCAGUCAAACACCCAACGUCCCACCGUCCAAGGAUGCUCCUGGCAGGUCGUACUGGUUCUGGUCAAACCUCCCACCUGGCUCCUGCUCUUCUGCACGCUCUGGAGCGCUUCACUGUCCACAGCCUGGACUCUGCGGUGCUGUUUGGAGUCAGCAGCACCUCCCCGGAGGAAGCCUGCGUUCAGGUGUUCUGCGAGGCCAGGCGGACGUCUCCCAGCAUCAUCUACAUGCCCCGCAUCCAGCAGUGGUGGGAGACUGCAGGCUCCUCGUUGAGGGCCUCCUUCCUCAGCCUGCUGGGCAGCAUCCCAUCCCUCUCCCCCAUCCUCCUCCUCGCCACCUGCAGCAUACCCCAUCUGCAGCUGGACCCAGAGAUUCAGUUUCUGUUUCGGGAGGAGUACGGGGAGGUUUACACCAUCAGUAUUCCCAACCGGCAGGAGAGGACUGACUUUUUCCAUGACCUCAUUCUAAACCAGGCGACCGAGGCUCCACCCUCCAAGAGAGGAGCACUGACCAUGGAGAUCCUUCCCCUGGCUCCCCUGCCUCCCCCCCGCCAGCUGCCGGAGCAGGACCGCCUCCAUCUGGAGCAGGAGGAGGAGGACGUGCUGCGGGAGCUCCGCCUCUUCCUGCGUAACAUCACCGAGCGUCUGACUCUGGACCGCCGCUUCAAGGCCUUCACCAAACCUGUCGACAUAGAGGAGGUCCCGGACUACAUGUUGGUAGUGAAGAAGCCCAUGGACCUCUCCACGCUGCUCACCAACAUCGACGAGCAGAAAUACGUCACCGUCGGCGAGUUCGUGUCAGACACAGACCUCAUCUGGCAGAACGCCCUCGAGUACAACCCGGACAGUGACCCCAUGGAUCGUCACAUCCGUCACCGUGCGUGCGCACUGAAGGACACGGUGCGCGCCAUCAUCAGAGACGAGCUGGACCAAGACUUUGAGAGAGUCUGCCAGGAGAUCAAAGAGUCGCGCAUCAAGAGAGCGUCCUCCUGUUGGACUGAGGUAAACCCAGAGGAGGCUCACGGCCUCUGCAGCUCCACCGUCACCACAAACAGCCCUGGACCUCAAACUCCAAAGAAAAAACGUUACAAACAGUCGAGAAAACCAAAGUGGAGCACUGGUGUUAUUAAGGAUACCAAGAAAAAGAAGCCACCGAUCCGUGCCUCGUCCUCCUCUUCAUCCACUUCCAGCAGGGCCAACUCUGAGUCGGGCCCAGAGGACAACGGAGUUGUUGAAAUGAGAGCGGUGAGUGGCUCCACCACACCAGAGAGCACAGGCAGGCAGCACCUGACAGUUUCACCACCACUUCAACAGCAUCUCAGAUAUCCAAAAUGGAGUCCUUGUGAACGGGUACUACCAUCCCGAGCCAGCUGACAGCAUCACUGUGAGCUUGAAGACGCCUCCGCACCUGAACACCAUGGUGAACGGGGAGAGCGUGAGAGACGUGAGACCAGAGCCAACAUGGAGCAGAUGCAGCUCUUUAACAGAGACACAUCUGUGGAGAACGUCGCCGAGG